AUAAGCCAGGUUCUACUGGCACUUCCUGCUACAGGAAAAAAAACAAGUCAGCGAAAGAACCUCAUGUGGCUUGUUCCAGACUUUCAUUUUGGCUGAUUGCGCUCUAAUCCUUGAUACAAAGGUUCUACAAGUACGUAACGCGGCAUGGUGAAUUGAUCGAGCGACACCUAUUUGAAGGCUUUACAAAGUCUUGCGUGCACAUGAUGCAAAGUCCUGGAUGGUGUGUAGGCUGUUUGUCAACAUCUGAAACCCACAUGUAUUUCAGGGAAAUGCUUGUCAGGAGCCAAGACGGAAAAAAAGACUGAAAAUUUGCCUUUAAACACAGACAUUAUUCAUUUCAAUGGAUAAGCUAGAAACAUCCAAACAAUAUUACAUUAGAAUCAUCAGAGACUGUCAAUUUUUAUCCCUCACUGUGGCAGAAACACAUAAAUAAACAUUGAAAAGAUAAAUUUCUUUGUUCAUUGCUUUUCUAAUGAUCUACGAAUAUUGCAAAAUAUUUAUGCGAAUUUCGCACGAUUUAUACAUG